AUUGAACGCUGGCGGCAGGCCUAACACAUGCAAGUCGAGCGGAUGAGUGGAGCUUGCUCCAUGAUUCAGCGGCGGACGGGUGAGUAAUGCCUAGGAAUCUGCCUGGUAGUGGGGGACAACGUUUCGAAAGGAACGCUAAUACCGCAUACGUCCUACGGGAGAAAGCAGGGGACCUUCGGGCCUUGCGCUAUCAGAUGAGCCUAGGUCGGAUUAGCUAGUAGGUGAGGUAAUGGCUCACCUAGGCGACGAUCCGUAACUGGUCUGAGAGGAUGAUCAGUCACACUGGAACUGAGACACGGUCCAGACUCCUACGGGAGGCAGCAGUGGGGAAUAUUGGACAAUGGGCGAAAGCCUGAUCCAGCCAUGCCGCGUGUGUGAAGAAGGUCUUCGGAUUGUAAAGCACUUUAAGUUGGGAGGAAGGGCAGUAAGUUAAUACCUUGCUGUUUUGACGUUACCGACAGAAUAAGCACCGGCUAACUUCGUGCCAGCCGCCGCGGUAAGAC
rnacentral:rRNA from 1 species